rnacentral:tRNA from 3 species
GGGGUUGUAGCUCAGCGGGAAGAGCGCUUGCAUGGCAUGCAAGAGGUCGUCGGUUCGAACCCGACCUGCUCCACCA